CGAUGACGUCAGCGGCCGGCCCCUCCCGCCCCCGUCGGCCCGCCCACUCCUCGCUCCUCCUCCCCCUUCUGGAACAGUCCUGCCGCUUCCCCCGCCCGCUCGGUCGCCGAGAGCCGGCUGCGCGCAGGCGCACUGGGCCGGCCGCGCGGCGCGGCGCGGGAAAGCUGUGUCGGGGCGGCCGAGGCCGCGGCGCCGGGGCUGAGUGGAGGCCGGCGUCGCGCGGGGCCGCGCACGGAGGGCCCGAGUCCGCGCCGCAGAGGGGCCGCCGCGAGACGUGCCACCAUGCAGGGACGUGAUCACUUGUAUCGACGCGUCAUGCUGCCGACUGAAAUGGAGAGGAGCACGUGGCAGUUAAGCGUUCCUGGUGCCCUAUUUCACGGCACCAACAAACGGAAUAUUACUUCUAAAACACUAUGAAAUACCAGGUCCUGUCCUCAGUGCUAUUUCGGGGGAAUUAAACGUUCACUGAUCGGUGAGAAGCUCCAGCGUUUCUUUUGGGGGCCGAUCAGUGGGAGGAAGAGGAAGAUUCUCAGGGAUUGUCUUGGCGCCCCAGAGGGCCUCGUUGGUGUCGGGGUUCGCCCGCUCAUACCCGGCAAGCGUGUCUUAGAUGGGGUCAGACACUUUGUACUAGCCUGCUCCUGCAUUCUUUAUUACUUGCAGGGCUCUGAGCCUGGCCUAGGCUGUCUGUGAUCUAUGACUUACCUGCCAGACGUCUCUGCUGAUCCCCCCACGUGUCCCCCCACCACUCCUGUUUGGUAUCCUGAUGUCAUGGAGAAGUUCCUCUGGCCCGCUAGAAAAAAGUUCCUCCCCCGUGUUAGUAAGUGUUCCGAAGUCUUGGCCAGACCUCACAGCAGACAACUUUGUUCCCCGGUGUUUGUGGUCAAGGCUGGGAGAGGCGCCGGAAAAGAGGGCUUUUCUGGAAAAAUUUCAGCCCUCAGUUUGAGUGGAGAUGGCUGCCUCCUCUUGCUUCUAACCAGUGCAGCCGACCAGAACAGGCAGCUGGGGGCCAGGAGAGGGCCUUCUAGCUGCUUGGGCCUGGCCCCACCCUAGGCGGCCCCACCAGCACACCCACCCCAUAGCGGCGGGAGGCUGGAGCUGCCUUCCCAGGGGCGAGGAGCUACCAGCAGUGAGGGCUGGGGGCCCAAAGUGAGUCCAGAGGGAAGUCUGUCAGGGUGUGCGUGGAGAGAGGUGAGGCCUCCCCCCACCGCAUAAGUAAGAAGGAAGCUACGGGGGCGUAAGACAGGCAAAUAACAUCAGCGCCCACACUCCCAUCACGUCCUCUCUUCUAAGACCUUUGCCCAAGGCCACUCUCCCAGUCCCUCAGAGAAGAAGGCAGGAGUGAGGACGGAAGGGCCAGCCUGGCUGUUCUGUCACUGGACCUCACCAGGGUAGGGCUGAAGAGGGUCCAGAAAAGAAAGCUAGCUUAGUGGCCUGUGAAUUUCAUCUCCCCCCCCCCAUCUACUUAAACUGAAAACAAACAAGUGAAACAAAACACAGAGGCACCAGGGCCACGCCCCAUGUGCCCCACAAACUGGGGGACCUGCCUGGCCUCUGCAGGCACCGGGUUCAACCAUGGAGGAGGGUUCCCCGGGGCGGCCCACCCCUGGCAUGUUUGUGGACUCGGGAUCCACAACUGCCCUGCUUCUGGACCAGGAAAGCCCCUCCCCAGGGUCCCCACCCAGAGUCCUGGGCCCCGCUGUGCAAAACCCAGUCUCCUGAGUUUCCUAUAAACAACUGCUCACUGGUGUUAAGACUCUCCCUCCCUCUCUCUCUCUCUCUCUCUUUCUCUCUCAAAAAAAAAAAAGCGAUUUAAAGAUAAUUAAUUGUAUUAAACUAUUGACUAACUACCUCACUCAAUAGUAAUUCAUUUAGAGAAUAUUAAAAUUGGAGGAACAAUAAUAAAAUUGAUGCCAAUUCCCACGGGGAGGAAGAUGGCCAGCAAAUUGGAUACUUUCCUUAAUCUGGCGUAAAUAAUAACAGUCUGCUCCCCUUCUCUCUCAGGCCGAUUCCCCUAUCAUUUAUUCCAGACUCUAAAGCCGGGCUUCAUAAUUGAUAUCAGUUACUCAAUGAGUGCUUUUUCAUUUGUUCUUGUUAUCCGUGAUAAUUGCGAAGUUCAGCCUCUCUCAGAGUUGAGAUUCGGCGGCUCUACCGUGGAGGCCUGCCCGGUUCCUCCGGCGCCGUGCAGGGGCAAGGCUGGGAGGUGGGGGGCUCUGGCUGCCUCCUCCCCGGCUGGGUUUUACUCCUUGCGGCCAGCGGCACACUAGCCCGAUCCUGGGGCCGAGCCGCAGGGACCCGACCGUGGGCGCAGAAAGUGCGCGGGGCCUUCGCUGGGGCCGUGACCGUCCAUCCAGAGCCCCGCCAUCCCCGACAGGGCACGUUUGGUGGCAAACCCAGGGUCCAGAGCUGCUCCAACAAUCCGUAUUUGUUUGAAAACCGGUGGGUGAAAGCGAUGAAUCCCAAACGACAUCUGGGGACAAAAUGCCACAGAGCCUGGAGGAAAUUUUGGGAGAUAGGGAAAGGGAGGGACACUUGACGGGGGCAGCUGGGCCAGGGGUCGGGCGCGGCGGGCCGGAAGGACACGUCCUGGCUGCCUGCUGCCCGCGCGCUGCCUCCCACGCCGCCCCGGGCGCAGGAUGGUCGCAGACUGGCCGGCCGGAGCCCUGGCAGCUAGUCGGGUCCUCGAGAUGACUAUUUCGUUACUUAUUCACUUAUUUAUUCAUUUAUAAAGUGUUUACUUAGCUCGGUGCAGAUGUAACAUCUCAUUUACAGCGUGGCCUCGGGGCAUAGAAACAAUUGGCAACAAAAGCGUAAC